AUGGCUUUCAGGAAGUCAUAUGAUUAUUACAUCAUCUCCUUGAUCUGUUCUCCAGGUCAGAUCUUGUUUUUUUUCUUUUUCUUUUUUUCAGUCUUGAUUUUUUUUGUCUCAUAUGAUUUCUGUUCGGUCUCUUGUAGUUUUCAGGGAGUCCGUUUUUUGUUUUUUUUUUUUUUUUUUUUUUUUUUUUUUGGGGGGGGGGGGUUCCAAGGUGGUAUUAUCCAAGGAGAGAGGUAUGGUCGCAGCUUUUCUGGUCUGAACUCUGAUCUUUAUUCAGGAAGGAAUUUUGAUCCCCUUCAACCACAAGUGCUAGUACCCUUUUUGGCCCUGGAACUGUUCCCAGGUCUUCUGCUCUCCUGUCACUAUACAUGCUAG
rnacentral:lncRNA from 1 species